UACGAAGGGAGCUAGCGUUGUUCGGAAUCACUGGGCGUAAAGCGCGCGCAGGUGGCUAUUCAAGUUAGGAGUGAAAGCCUGGGGCUUAACCCCAGAACUGCUCUUAAGACUGAGAAGCUAGAGUGCGGGAGAGGAUAGCGGAAUUCCGUGUGUAGAGGUGAAAUUCGUAGAUAUACGGAGGAACACCAAUGGCGAAGGCAGCUAUCUGGAACGUAACUGACACUGAGGCGCGAAAGUGUGGGGAUCAAACAGG
rnacentral:rRNA from 1 species